CGGAUGUGGGUCUCCUGUGGGCCUCAACUCUUGAACACUCAUGACAUGGAGACUGUUCUAAUGAAUCACACUGGUUAAGUAGGCAUGGGAAGAGCCUUUCUUGGCUAAAGGGCUGGCCAUGGAGCAGACACCAAGUAGUGUCACUCAUGCUGAGAGGAGGGCAAUCUGUAUACCUUGUCAUGUCCUUUGUGGCUCAGUUGCUCUGAGAGCCUUGGGUAGGAGGGUCAAGCUCUAUGUCUUAUAUUUCCAGAUGAGUGAUGUAGAAGCUGGUGGUGCCACCGUCUUCCCUGAUCUGGGGGCUGCAAUUUGGCCUAAGAAGGGUACAGCUGUGUUCUGGUACAACCUCUUGCGGAGCGGGGAAGGUGACUACCGAACAAGACAUGCUGCCUGCCCUGUGCUUGUGGGCUGCAAGUGGGUCUCCAAUAAGUGGUUCCAUGAACGAGGACAGGAGUUCUU
rnacentral:sRNA from 1 species